AAAAUCUUAGGUUAAGAUAAAAGUUAAACCAUAGUCCUUCAAAGUCUAAUAUAAGAAAAAUUCUUAGAUUUUA
rnacentral:tRNA from 1 species